rnacentral:rRNA from 1 species
UACAGAGGUCUCAAGCGUUGUUCGGAUUCAUUGGGCGUAAAGGGCGCGUAGGCGGCGGGGUAAGUCAGGUGUGAAAUCUCGGGGCUCAACCCCGAAACUGCACUUGAUACUGCCUCGCUUGAGUACUGGAGAGGAGACUGGAAUUUACGGUGUAGCAGUGAAAUGCGUAGAUAUCGGAAGGAAGACCAGUGGCGAAGGCGGGUCUCUGGACAGUUCCUGACACUGAGACACGAAGGCGUGGGGAGCAAACAGG